GUGCAGAAGGAAGGAAAUAACAGGGAUUUCCCAAUUUUUGAAGCCAGUGAAUAUAUAUUGCAAUUAUUCGUUAACUUGUUGAGAACGUGAUAAAUGUACCAAGAAGUUAGUAUUUAAAGCAUUAUUACGUAAUGGUUUUUUUGGAAAUUUUUCACACUUGUAAACAAUAAUGAUUUAAAAAUAGAAUUUUGUAGAAAUUUUCAUAUUUCGUUGGGCGAUAACUGAGAAUAUCGUGGGAUUUUAGCUAAAUUUUCUUAAAAAAUAUCAUAAUUCUCUAUUCUUAUCAAGACGAAUUUUUAUUAAAAUUGUAAACAAGGCCACCGUUUUAAGAACUUUCAACUUUGUUUCAAAACAAGUGAUUUAUUCUUCUUAUAUAACUUAACAUUAAAAUUUCAAAAAAAUAGCAUAAUUGAAACUAUUAUCUAAGUUUCGAGGAGAUUAAAUAUUACGUAACUAACCAAAAAACGGUUCAAAUUAAUUAGUAAACAAUACCAUAGUGCACGAAAAAAUACAUCUUUCUGGACAUUUGCCAUUUUUUGAAAGAAAGAAGAGAGUAAUUUUCAGUGAACACAAAACAAAUAACAUGUUUUAUGCUAAAGUACACUAAAGCAUGCUAUGCACUCGUGCUAAACAUUAUCUGUAGAUGAAUAAUUUUGAAGAUAAAAACUGAUUUUUUAUCUAAAAAUUCUUGUUUCUACUACAUUAACUUACAAAUUUUACAAUAAAUUAAAAAUUUCAUUUCAUAUUCGCCUAGUUCCCUAUUUUUGUAUAAGUUUUAAUUUACUCAUCUGGUCAAAAUUUUAGGACACUUGAGAGAUGACAUAUUUUCUUCUAGUAUAUAUAUAUAUAUAUGUCUUAUUGCAUAACGUAUUAGGAUGUUAAAAUUAGGUUCUACUUUUUUACAUCAGUCUGUGUUUUUUGUAACAAUCUUUAAGUUUUUUUCUCUUUUGCACUAAAAGUUCUAACUUGAAAAACUUUAAAAGAAAUAUUACAAUACUUUUUAAAGAAAAAUUGUAAUUUUAGUCGGUGACCGAAAAACAAAUAUCUUAUGUAUAUUUGUUCUUAAAAUCAGGCUAAAAACAAAAUACUUAAGGUAAUAACUAAACUUAAGCACAAAUUGAAUAACUUAAAAGGGUAGUCACGAAUAUUAAAACUGAAAAAAAAAAUCAAUUCGAUUUGCAAAAAUAAAUAAAUAAAAAUAUUUAUUGUUAAUAUAAUUUAAGAUAUAGAUCUGACGAACACGUUGUUUAAGAAUGCUUUUUAGCCAUCUUAAACAGAUACGGUGAAAGGUAAGCAAAAAUUCUAAAUCUAAUUAUUUGCUCUAUCGAUAAUAUGUUUACACCAUUUAAGGUGUUUUAUGGGACAAAGUCUCUUCAUAAAGCAGCUAUCAAUACAAUAUGUAAGAAGAAUAUUAAAGCUUUUUUCGGUUAGUUUCAUUUCAACGGUCUCAAUUGGAGCUGUUUCCGCUGUUAGAUAAUUCAUUAUUCACAAAUUAAUCUUAAAUACACUUUCAAGACAUUCAAAAACUUACAAAUUAUUAAAAUUCCUGCCAGUAAAAAAAUUAUCAGAGUUCGACCGAAAGCCAUGUUACCGCUUGCUUGUCAGAGAAGCGAAUAGCUUCUUAGGCAGACGACGCACAUUUAUAAAACUUAGCAGAAGUUCGACCUUUGCUUUAAAUCACGUGUUUCAAUGAAAAUAGAGUAUAAGAUGAGCAAGAGACACAAAGAGACAGCUAAGUCGAAAGAAAUUAAGGAAGAGUCUUCCGGAAAAAUUAAAAAAGCAUCCUCAAAGAGCGUUAAGUUAGUUUGGAAGGACAAUAAACCUAUCAUUGAAACGAACUCAAAAAAUUCAGAUGGGAAAAAACAUACACUUGAAAAGAAAAAAAGAAAAAAAAUAAAAGAAGUGACAGAUAAAUUGGUAAAAAAAGACUCAUCUUCCACCAAGAAGGAUUAUGACGAUUCUUAUCGGGAAGAAGAACCAAUGGAAACUGAUGAUAUUAUUAUGAAAGAGCUACAACUACUUAGAGAAGAAAAUCAUGCAAAAGUUCAAUCCAAAUAUACAGAUCACAAUUAUAGGAAUUUAAAACAAUAUUCGCCAAAAUCCAAAGGAAAAAAGAUUGUUGUUGAUACAAAUGUGUAUAUCAACGAUUUGGAAUUAAUAAAGAUGAUUAAUCGCAACAAUUAUAUACUUGUUGUACCAUAUAUAGUGAUUCAAGAAUUGGAUGAUUUAAAGGAUAGAAGGAGUUUAGGAGACGAUAAACGAUUAAAAGCUAGAGAGGCUAUAAAUUUUCUUUUGUCGGCGUUAGAAAAUCCGAAAGCAAACGUAUUAUUCAAGGGGCAAGACCCUCUUAAUGAUGAUCUUAAAAAGUUGAAGAAUGACGAUAAGAUACUUUUUUGCUGUAAAUCGGAAGCAAUCGAACUUUUUUUGACGGAUGAUAAACCUCUAUGUAUUAAAGCGUCUAUACAAGGCUUGAAAGUAUAUAGAACAAAGGAAUUUCGUAAGGAGCUGUUGAAGAAAUGUAAAUUUGUUAGUGUAGAGGAAAAAAUUAACUUUGACAUUAACGAUGAUGCUCAGAUGGAAGAGGAAGAAGUUAACAAACAAAAGAUUGAUGAAAGAGAAGUACAAUUAGAGAGAGCGGCCUUUGCAUUUUUUCGUACAUUCAUUGAAAUUGCAAUGAAAGAUGCCUAUGAUGAAAUAUGGAGGGAUGUUUUAACAAAGAAUCCAACAAGUUUAAAGAGAUGCUUUCAACUCAUGCACAAGCAUUGGAUUGCCGUAUUUGGCUCUCUUUUUGUCAGUCGUCAUGACGCAAAAGAUAUCCUAAAUGACCUGAGAAUGGAUGGGGAUACUGUAAAGCUUCUUGAUUAUUUACGUCUUAUCAAUCCAGUCGAAAGCAAACGCUUGAAGAUUGAUUCGUUGCUUGAAGACUUUAUGGAUAAAUGGAAAACUAUAAUGUCAAACAACAAUUUAACAGUAGAACAAGUAAUGGGCAUUUUCUUCGAAAUACUAAUUGGAUUUAGAGAUCGUGUUUUAAACGAUCUGCAUUGUAAACCAAACGAAGUUAAACAAAUUAUACAAAUUGCCGCCAAUAAAAAAAUUUGGCAAAAAAUUCGAUGGUGCUACGUGUUGUACGAAAGAUUCUUAGACACAAGAUCUCCAGAAAGUUAUAAAAAUUUAACAAAAAUCAUAAACGAUGUUCUCAAUUCUACAAGGAAACCUCAGAGAUUAUUGGAACAUUCCCUUCGUGAGUUUGAUAAUGCUAGUAGAGAUAGAAUGCUUAUCGGAUUCGGACAACUGAAGGAUACGAUGACCCCAAUGGAACAUAUGAUAUCGCAAUUGCCUUUAGAAUUGAGGAAGCUAUUCGACAUAUCCGUUUGAAUAUACAAAAAGUAUUUCCUGUAUAAAUGAACAUGUAAAUUUCUCAGGUUAUUUGAUUAUGGAUACUGGUUUAAAUUGCUCUCUGCAGUGACAUACGAGAUUGAAUUUAAGAAAAAAUAAAACUCAGGUUUUUAGUACUGGAUCACUUAAAGUGCUACUAUUUUUGUCAUUUUUCUUUUUUGUUAAAAUAAACAACAUUUUUGGUUAUAUAUAAAGAAAAAGAUGAAUUUGCUCUAAUAUCUAGUAAAUAUAGUAUUUGAAUUCAUAAUUAAGAUAUGUAACACACUGUCGAACAACGAACGAAUUUAUAAAGGUUGUAAUCUAGAUUAAUAAUCUACAUUUUCUAUCAAAUAACAAUUAAAGAAAUCUUUUUUCAGAUAUGCCUUUAUUUGUUUCAAUAAACAGGACUUAUAUUCCGUUAAUACUUUUUACAGAAUUUGGCCUUCAUGAUCAUCAAAUAUAAAAGAUAAACGAGCUGUUUGUUCAUUUAUUU
rnacentral:misc_RNA from 1 species